GUUUGCUUCAGCAGUACAUAUGCUAAAAUUGGAACGAUACAGAGAAGAUUAGCAUUGGCCCCUGUGUAAGGAUGACAUGCAAAUUAGUGAAGUGUUCCAUAUUUUA
rnacentral:snRNA from 1 species